rnacentral:snoRNA from 1 species
AAGACUAUACUUUCAGGGGUCAUUUCUGUAGUUCACAUCUCAGGAAUGACUCUUUAGAAAUGCCACUAGACAUUUGUACAAGUUGCUUGAUUCUGAGAAUA